CAAUUUUUAUUGGCAAAAUGUCAAAACAGAUGUACUGUGCAUCUCUGAUGUUAUAUGUCCAACGGCAAAUCAGUGUGGAAACCAGCCGCAUUUGAUUUCCUGUCUGCAAACUAUAUAAGCUCAGUUCAUAUAUAAUGUUGGGAUCCAGUCAAAGACCGCCAGCCAUGAAGAAAGCAACAGUUUUCCUAUUUGCCGCAAUCGCCUUCAUGGCGUUCUGCUCGCUCACUGCCGCUGAACCUGAACCAGCAGAUACUAAGCCUAAACCUGAUGACCCAACAAAGACUAAGGAUGCAAAAUCUAAAACCGACAAGAAUAAUGGUAAGAAGGAAGAUGCACCAGGAAAGGUACAAUCGGUGGACGGUAAGAACAAGAAAGAAGAAAUAAAGACACCCAAGGCGGAUGGAGCAAAGCCAGAGAAAGAAACCAAGGCAAAGGAAACUAAUGCAAAGGACACUAAUACAAAGGACAGUAAGCAAAAGGACAGUAAGCCAAAGGACACUAAGACAAAGACAAAACAGAAGACUAAAAAAUCUGGAAAACCCUAACUAGGAAGAGCUCAACAACCAGAGUGAGCAAAUCAUCCUUUACGUCUCAAUUAAAUGAGAUGUAAAAAUGGCGUGUCUUUAAAAUAAAAAUAAAAUUAUCGAAAAAAUAUAA